rnacentral:rRNA from 1 species
AUACGUAGGGGGCGAGCGUUGUCCGGAAUGAUUGGGCGUAAAGGGCGCGUAGGCGGCCUGUUAAGUCUGGAGUGAAAGUCCUGUUUUCAAGAUGGGAAUUGCUUUGGAUACUGUCGGGCUUGAGUGCAGGAGAGGUAAGUGGAAUUCCCAGUGUAGCGGUGAAAUGCGUAGAGAUUGGGAGGAACACCAGUGGCGAAGGCGACUUACUGGACUGUAACUGACGCUGAGGCGCGAAAGUGUGGGGAGCAAACAGGAUUAGAUACCCUGGUAGUCCACACUGUAAACGAUGAAUGCUAGGUGUAGGGGGUAUCGACCCCUUCUGUGCCGCAGUCAACACAAUAAGCAUUCCGCCUGGGGAGUACGGCCGCAAGGUUGAAACUCAAAGGAAUUGACGGGG